rnacentral:rRNA from 1 species
CGUGCUUAACACAUGCAAGUCGAACGAAUAACCCACCUCCGGGUGGUUAUAGAGUGGCGAACGGGUGAGUAACACGUGACCAACCUACCUCUCACUCCGGGAUAACCCAGAGAAAUCUGCGCUAAUACCGGAUACUCCGGGCACCUCGCAUGGGGAGCCCGGGAAAGCCCCGACGGUGGGAGAUGGGGUCGCGGCCUAUUAGAUAGUUGGUGGGGUAACGGCCUACCAAGUCGACGAUAGGUAGCCGGGUUGAGAGACCGAUCGGCCACAUUGGGACUGAGAUACGCCCAGACUCC